rnacentral:rRNA from 1 species
AGAGCGAACGCUGGCGGCGGGCCUAACACAUGCAAGUCGAACGGACCCUUCGGGGUUAGUGGCGGACGGGUGAGUAACACGUGGGUACGUGCCUUUUGGUUCGGAAUAGCUCCUGGAAACGGGUGGUAAUGCCGAAUGUGCCCUUCGGGGGAAAGAUUUAUCGCCAUUAGAGCGGCCCGCGUCUGAUUAGCUAGUUGGUAAGGUAAUGGCUUACCAAGGCGACGAUCAGUAGCUGGUCUGAGAGGAUGACCAGCCACAGUUGGGACUGAGACACGGCCCAAACUCCUACGGGAGGCAGCAGUGGGGAAUCUUGCGCAAGUGGGACGAAGCCUGACGCAGCCAUGCCGCGUAGAUGAUGAAGGUCUUAGGUAUUAGUUAAAUUCGUUACGACCGGAGAUAAUCGGAACCGGUACCGGAAGAACGAACGGACCCGCUAACCGUUCGUCGACCAGCC